CACCCGAUUAUGGUCUUCCUUGGUAGAAGCAAAGGCAACAUUCAAGUAGUGGGAGUGCUUUUAUGAUUGGGGAUGGUAAACUCUUGACAAAUGCGCAUUGCGUUGAGCACGACACCCAGGUCAAAGUAAAGAGAAGGGGAGAUGACAAAAAGUAUAUUGCCAAGGUUUUAGCUAGGGGUGUUGAAUGCGAUCUUGCGUUGCUAUCUGUUGAGAAUGAAGAGUUCUGGAGAGGAACAGAGGCACUUCAUUUUGGUCGCUUGCCAUGC